AGGAUUUGAGAUAAUGGCAAUAGCUGCAGUUGGGAAUAAUCUGAUAACAUAUGUUAUAAACGAGAUGCACUUUUCGUUGUCGAAAUCUGCAAACACAGUCACAAACUUCAUUGGCACAGUCUUCAUCCUCUCACUCCUUGGUGGCUACCUUUCUGACUCUUAUCUCGGUUGCUUUUGGACCAUUCUCAUCUUUGGCUUCGUUGAACUUUCGGUAUAUAUUUCCCCUCUCUCUCUCUCUUAUAUAUAUAUAUGCACACAUAUAUUUCCUAUUACCUUUUAGUUCCUCCUCUCUCUCUCUCACACACACACACACACCAAAAAAGAAAAGGUAACGUUCGCCCAAUUGAGGUGGCCGAGUGUGGGAGAUUGAAGGUUAAAUAUAUAAAUCCAAAAACCUUUACAUUUGUAACGUAUAAUAUUAUGUUGAAUUUCUCGUACAGUUCAAAUCUUGUCUACUCUGUUUUGUAUUAUUUUAUAAAAUUAAAAUUUUAAAGUAAAAACCCAAAAUGUUCAUACAAAAAUUAAUCAAUACUACAAAUUACGGUACUUAUCCCCCAAUCCCUCUCCUCUCACUCAGAACAUAUUUAUAUAUAUUUAUCAACUCAUUCGUACAAAAUACGAUGACAUGAUAUAAUUUUACUAUCGACAUUUAUUAACACUAAUAAAAUAAAUUAAAAAAAAAACGCAGUGGUAACAUCAAAUCCAAACUGCUCAUGGAACAUGACAAUCAUCACCUAUAUUUCUCAUGCACGUCACUUCCCAAUCCCCACGAAGUUAAUUAAUUUUCUCGUAUUAAACCUUUAAAGACAAUUAGGGUGCCUUUACUUUGAUAAAAAAUGAGAGAAAAAAAUAUAUUUUUAUCUAUUUUCCAUAAUUUUCAUAUGUUUAAUAUGAUGAAAAUUUUCUUUGAACAGAGUCAAAUAUUUUCUCGUACAGCUCAUUUUCAACCAUUUUCUCUCCAAAUGUUGGAUAAUACUAUCUCCUAUCGGUGUGAAAAUAUUUUUCAAUAUUUUUUUUAUCUUUUUUAGUAAAUAUAUGAUAAAAAAAGGGAAAAAUAUAAUAUUUUAUUGUAUUUUCUUAUCUAUAUAUGUUUUUCCAAUGAAAAUUUUACAACAAAAGUGAAAGCAGCCUUACGUGACAUGAGACUUUGGGCUUUAAUUAAACACUAAUCACAUAUAUUAUCGUGUAGUGGAUGACAUCAUAAAUAUACUGUUUUUAUAAUUUGGAUGAAACACAGGGUUUGAUCUUGCUAUCGGUACAAGCCCAUGUGGGGCAGCUGAAGCCGCCGCCAUGCGACAUGGUCAACGACAGCGCGCAGUGUGUUGAAGCGAAAGGGUUCGAAGCCUUAAUAUUUUUCGUGGCCCUUUAUUUGGUGGCGUUAGGGAGUGGGUGCGUUAAGCCUAACAUGAUAGCACAUGGGGCAGACCAGUUCAACCAAGACGAUGAAAAGCAAUCCAACAAACUCUCCUCUUACUUCAAUGCCGCCUACUUCGCCUUCUCCAUGGGCGAGCUCAUCGCCUUGACCGUCCUAGUUUAUGUCCAAACGCACUCCGGCAUGGACAUCGGCUUCGGGGUGUCGGCCGCCGCCAUGGCCAUGGGCCUCAUCGCCAUCAUCUCCGGCACAGUUAUGUACCGCAACAAGCCGCCUCAGGGGAGCGUCUUGACCCCUAUCGCACAGGUCACCCAUCUAUCCCUUACAUAAUUUAUUUAAUUUCUGUGUAACAACUCACAUGGGAAGUUAUAAAUUUUUUUUUAAAAAUAAUCAAGAAUUCAUGUGAUUAGUGACGCACGAAAGAAACAUGUAUAGUGGCACCAUUCUUCCCCCCAUAAAUAAAGAUGACCUUUACAAAAUGUCCCUAUUUUGUCAACUUUUCUAGCUGUAUCGGGUAGGAUUAUUACACUAUUAUUAUUAUUAUUAUUUGAUGCAUGUAUGUUAUGCUAUGUACUUUAUGUAAUGUUUAGCUCAUGUUAGCAAUAUCUUUUUUAUUCAAUGUAUUUUUUAGUUUUAAUAUCCCCUACUUUCUCCGUCUACGAAAUGAAUACUCAUAUUUUCUUUUUUGUCCGUCCAUAAAAUGAGUAUUCAUUUCCCUUUUGGAUAAUUAAGUGUAUCCACACAACCCUUUAAUUAAUACCCUUAUAAAGUGGGACUCUUACACACGACACUCAAUACAUUUUCUUAAAACUCGUGCCGUCUUCAAAUGGGUACUCAUUUUGUAGAGAGUAAUUGUUAUUGAGAUCAUUUAUUUUAAAAAUUACAAAAAAAUCAAAUUCUGAUUUGUUCAUUUNAGUUUGUGUUUAAUUCUGUGUCUCAUUAUUUAUCAAAAAAAAAAAAAAUGUGUGUCUCAUUUUUUAUUUUAGUUAUUUUGUUAUAUUUUUUCGGUCUAUGAAAGAAUUUUUCCGAAGGAAAUGAUAAUAAUUUUAAGAAAAAUUAUUGUUGAGUGUAUUAGAAGUGGAAAAAAAAUUAUUGAAUGUAUUGAAACUGAUGAAAAUGUGUUUAUAAUUAUAGUUCAAAAACAUAUAGAAAAUUUUUUUGUAGACGUCCCAUAAAAGAAAACUAAGAAGUUUUUUCAUAGAUAGAGGUAGUAUAUUUUUUCUUCAAUUUUAACUUUGUAUGUUUUAAUUCCAUAUUGUGAUUAGAAUUUAUUCCAUCUAAUUAGGGUAUAUGGUACUUUUUAUCAUUUAAUUUCAUUUUUAUUAGUUAAUAAUAACUUGAUAAAUUCAAAAUCAUGCAUGAUAUAUAUUUUUAUAAAAUUUUAAUUUUUUAAAUAAAAAUUAAGUAUAAUUUAUAGUGUUAUAAUAAAUUUUACUCCCUCCGUCCACCAAAAAUGGGGCACAAUUACUAUAUUUGGUGUCCACAAAAAAUAGGGCACUUUUCCUUUUAAGACAUGAGCCCACCACUUUUCCUUAUAUUUUAUCCUUAUCAAUACCCAUUAUUUACAAAAAAAACCAACUUUAAUUCAAUCUCAACCACUUAUUUCAAAUAAUGGUGAGACAAUUUCUCCACUAAGCACCAAUUUUAUGAAAACAUGUGCCCAAGAAAUGUGCCCCACUUUUGGCGAACGGAGGGAGUACUUUAUAAAAAAUAUUAUUGAAAUAAUAGAUAUAAUAAUAAGACACAAUAACACAUACUCUUUCCGUCCUCUAAAAUGUAUCCAAUUCAUAAAAUGUAUAAUUCAGUCUAUUUUUAGCAAGUUUUUCACUCACAGUAAUAUAAGAUCCUUAUUUCACUCACAACACAUUCAACUAUUUUAUUAAAAUUCAUGUCAUUUACAAAUAAAUACUUUUUAUAAAGAGAGAGAGUAUAAAAUUAUGGAACAUUAAAUUUCAUCCCCACAAUAUACAACCCACAAUAUACAACAUGCCUUUUGAGCCUAAGCUGGUACUAUAUAUAUUAGACUCCAACCAUCCUUGAAUUCAGUAAAUAUAUUUCAGCCAAACAUCUCCCCCUCUCUCUCUCUCUCACAAACAUAUUUGGUGUGAACUACUUAAGGAGUGUGCUUCUGCACUACUGCUAUACUAUAUAUAUAUAUGUACACACACAAACACACACCCAUAUAUCGCUGUCUGAACAAAAAAUAGAAAGAAAAAAUGGAGAGCUCAAGAAGGCAGGAUUUGAAGGCAUCAGUUAAGGUUCCUGAUGAGAACACUAUUGAUUGGAGAGGAAAGCCUUCCAACCCCCAAAAGCAUGGAGGAAUGAGAGCUGCUGCCUUUGUUCUAGGUUCUUUCUCUUUCUCUCUCUUGAUGUCACUAUAUAUGCAAGAGAAAAUAGAUAUUUUUUUAAAAAAUAUAUUGUGUUGAUAUUAGUUGGAAAUAAAUAUAUAAUGUGCAGGGCUUCAAGGAUUUGAGAUAAUGGCAAUAGCUGCAGUUGGGAAUAAUCUGAUAACAUAUGUUAUAAACGAGAUGCACUUUUCGUUGUCGAAAUCUGCAAACACAGUCACAAACUUCAUUGGCACAGUCUUCAUCCUCUCACUCCUUGGUGGCUACCUUUCUGACUCUUAUCUCGGUUGCUUUUGGACCAUUCUCAUCUUUGGCUUCGUUGAACUUUCGGUAUAUAUUUCCCCCUCUCUCUCUCUCUUUAUAUAUAUAUAUGCACACAUAUAUUUCC
rnacentral:lncRNA from 1 species